rnacentral:rRNA from 1 species
AACCCUGAGGCGUGAUGACGAUGCACUACGGUGCAGAAGUAGUUGAUGCCCUGCUUCCAGGAAAAUCCUCUAAGCUCCAGGUAACAUUAAAUCGUACCCCAAACCGACACAGGUGGUCAGGUAGAGAAUACCAAGGCGCUUGAGAGAACUCGGGUGAAGGAACUAGGCAAAAUGGUGCCGUAACUUCGGGAGAAGGCACGCUGGCAUGUAGGUGAAGUCCCUCGCGGAUGGAGCUGAAGCCAGUCGAAGAUACCAGCUGGCUGCAACUGUUUAAUAAAAACACAGCACUGUGCAAACACGAAAGUGGACGUAUACGGUGUGACGCCUGCCCGGUGCUGGAAGGUUAAUUGAUGGGGUCAGCCGCAAGGCGAAGCUCUUGAUCGAAGCCCCAGUAAACGGCGGCCGUAACUAUAACGGUCCUAAGGUAGCGAAAUUCCUUGUCGGGUAAGUUCCGACCUGCACGAAUGGCGUAAUGAUGGCCAGGCUGUCUCCACCCGAGACUCAGUGAAAUUGAACUCGCUGUGAAGAUGCAGUGUACCCGCGGCAAGACGGAAAGACCCCGUGAACCUUUACUAUAGCUUGACACUGAACAUUGAGCCUUGAUGUGUAGGAUAGGUGGGAGGCUUUGAAGCGUGGACGCCAGUCUGCGUGGAGCCAUCCUUGAAAUACCACCCUUUAAUGUUUGAUGUUCUAACUCGGCCCCAUAAUCUGGGGUGAGGACAGUGUCUGGUGGGUAGUUUGACUGGGGCGGUCUCCUCCCAAAGAGUAACGGAGGAGCACGAAGGUUAGCUAAUCACGGUCGGACAUCGUGAGGUUAGUGCAAAGGCAUAAGCUAGCUUGACUGCGAGAGUGACGGCUCGAGCAGGUACGAAAGUAGGUCUUAGUGAUCCGGUGGUUCUGAAUGGAAGGGCCAUCGCUCAACGGAUAAAAGGUACUCCGGGGAUAACAGGCUGAUACCGCCCAAGAGUUCAUAUCGACGGCGGUGUUUGGCACCUCGAUGUCGGCUCAUCACAUCCUGGGGCUGAAGUAGGUCCCAAGGGUAUGGCUGUUCGCCAUUUAAAGUGGUACGCGAGCUGGGUUUAGAACGUCGUGAGACAGUUCGGUCCCUAUCUGCCGUGGGCGUUGGAAGAUUGAGAGGGGUUGCUCCUAGUACGAGAGGACCGGAGUGAACGCACCACUGGUGUUCGGGUUGUCAUGCCAAUGGCAUUGCCCGGUAGCUAAGUGCGGAAAAGAUAAGCGCUGAAAGCAUCUAAGCGCGAAACUUGCCUCAAGAUGAGUCUUCCCUGGGCCUUCAAGGCCCCUGAAGGAACGUUUAAGACUAAGACGUUGAUAGGCUGGGUGUGUAAGUGCAGCGAUGCAUUGAGCUAACCAGUACUAAUGAUCCGUGAGGCUUAACCUU